rnacentral:piRNA from 1 species
CUCAAAAGCACACGUCUGGCUUGGCACGAC